rnacentral:lncRNA from 1 species
AGGACUGAGGGCUGGGGGAGGGGAGUGCCUUACAGAGAGGGGGCAGGGAAGGUUGUUCCAGGAUUUCUAAUAACCCACAUUGAAGAUGGACCAGAAACAAAACCAGGAUGUCAAGAUGGUGAACCUCCCAGGGUUAUCAGGCCCAAAGCACAAAACACAAUUUCCAAUAACCCAGGCUGGGUCCCCUGCAGGACGUAUUUAUGCAUUAAGAGCACAAGACAGGGCUGGUCUCAGUGGAUGGGGAAGAGCAGCCCCCACCUCCCUGGUGCACUGGGACCUUAAGGCUAUUCCUCUAGACCUGGAAGCCUUGGCCUGCCCACCCCUUUGUGAUUGUUGCAUUCAGACCUUUCAGACUCCGAUAAGCCUGAGGAAUUCAAUAAAGGCUGAAGCUGCAGCAGCGCUCUGUCACUCACAGAUUUAAAUCCCUCCUCCCCAGUGACUGGGAGGUGGGAUGCACUUAUUUCUCAGGUCUUGCUCUUGGGCUUGACUGGGAGGACUUAGCGGUGGAUUAUUCUCUUACUGUUUGGAAGAAGAGCUGUCACUGGAAAUUGCUGACUAAUUUUCUGGCUGUGUAGCUGACAGUUAAUGCCUAGGUCCAUUAAUCCUCAUGAACAAAGGCUGACAGACUACCUUGGUGUCCAGCCCACUGUGGCAGUGGCCAUCUCUCUGACUUACCUUCGAUGCUUACAUGCUUUUUAUUGGUUUGUGUGUUGGAUAACUUCUUUCCAGAUUCUACCAGUAUCAAGCCCAGCUUCUUAGACAUUAAAUCAUAAAGGAAUUCUCACAGGAAAUCAAGAUCCGGGUGGAAAAAUUAUCUUUUUGUGCCCAGAACAGAGGUCCCAAAGGAUAAUUCCCGAGGAAUGGCAUCCAAAGGUGACCUCUCACCUCCACGGGUGUAGAAUGGGAACAAUGUGCCUUGGGGGGCCUGCUGGCAGAUCACUCCAGAUGAUGUGAAGGAGGAGGAGGAGAAAAGAAGAAGAAGAAGAAGAAGAAGAAGAAGAAGAAGAAGAAGAAGAAGAAGAAGAAGAAGAAGAAGAAGAAGAAGAAGAAGAAGAAAAGGAGACACUAUCACAAGACACAGAUGAGAACAGGGGAGCCCAGCGUGUUUUAUGUUCUGGUCACAAAAAGAGAAUUUGUCCACCCGGCCCAUUGAUUUCCUGUGAGAAUUUCUUUAUGAUUUAGAAAUUUAUUUAUCCUCAUUGCCAUAAAAAGCAAAGAAAGAAAGAAAGAAAGAAAGAAAGAAAGAAAGAAAGAAAGAAAGAAAGAAA